GCUUUGGUGGUCUAGAGGUUAAAACGUCAGCCUCGGAUGUGGGAGGUCGUGGGUUCGAACUCCGGCCGAGUCA